rnacentral:rRNA from 1 species
AUUGAACGCUGGCGGCAGGCCUAACACAUGCAAGUCGAACGGUAACAGGAAGCAGCUUGCUGCUUUGCUGACGAGUGGCGGACGGGUGAGUAAUGUCUGGGAAACUGCCUGAUGGAGGGGGAUAACUACUGGAAACGGUAGCUAAUACCGCAUAACGUCGCAAGACCAAAGAGGGGGACCUUCGGGCCUCUUGCCAUCGGAUGUGCCCAGAUGGGAUUAGCUAGUAGGUGGGGUAAAGGCUCACCUAGGCGACGAUCCCUAGCUGGUCUGAGAGGAUGACCAGCCACACUGGAACUGAGACACGGUCCAGACUCCUACGGGAGGCAGCAGUGGGGAAUAUUGCACAAUGGGCGCAAGCCUGAUGCAGCCAUGCCGCGUGUAUGAAGAAGGCCUUCGGGUUGUAAAGUACUUUCAGCGGGGAGGAAGGGAGUAAAGUUAAUACCUUGGCUCAUUGACGUUACCCGCAGAAGAAGCACCGGCUAACUCCGUG